GAUGAACGCUGGCGGCGUGCUUAACACAUGCAAGUCGAACGAAGCAGGAGGGUGCUUGCACCUUCCUGACUGAGUGGCGGACGGGUGAGUAACACGUGGAUAAUCUGCCCUGCACAGGGGGACAACAGCUAGAAAUGGCUGCUAAUACCGCAUAAGCCUACAGCCUCGCAUGAGGGAGUAGGAAAAGAAAUUCGGUGCAGGAUGAGUCCGCGUCUGAUUAGCUAGUUGGAGGGGUAAGAGCCCACCAAGGCAACGAUCAGUAGCCGGCCUGAGAGGGCGACCGGCCACAUUGGGACUGAGACACGGCCCAA
rnacentral:rRNA from 1 species